GGAGGGAUGCCCGAGCGGCUGAAGGGGCGCGACUCGAAAUCGCGUAGGGGCGUUGAAGGACGCUCCUCCGGGGUUCAAAUCCCCGUCCCUCCGCCA
rnacentral:tRNA from 1 species